ACCCUUUAAUGUUUGAUGUUCUAACGUGGACCCGUGAUCCGGGUUGCGGACAGUGUCUGGUGGGUAGUUUGACUGGGGCGGUCUCCUCCUAAAGAGUAACGGAGGAGCACGAAGGUUGGCUAAUCCUGGUCGGACAUCAGGAGGUUAGUGCAAUGGCAUAAGCCAGCUUGACUGCGAGCGUGACGGCGCGAGCAGGUGCGAAAGCAGGUCAUAGUGAUCCGGUGGUUCUGAAUGGAAGGGCCAUCGCUCAACGGAUAAAAGGUACUCCGGGGAUAACAGGCUGAUACCGCCCAAGAGUUCAUAUCGACGGCGGUGUUUGGCACCUCGAUGUCGGCUCAUCACAUCCUGGGGCUGAAGUAGGUCCCAAGGGUAUGGCUGUUCGCCAUUUAAAGUGGUACGCGAGCUGGGUUUAGAACGUCGUGAGACAGUUCGGUCCCUAUCUGCCGUGGGCGCUGGAGAACUGAGGGGGGCUGCUCCUAGUACGAGAGGACCGGAGUG
rnacentral:rRNA from 1 species